rnacentral:rRNA from 1 species
UGGGGAAUAUUGGACAAUGGGCGAAAGCUUGAUCCAGCCAUGCCGCGUGUGUGAAGAAGGUCUUCGGAUUGUAAAGCACUUUAAGUUGGGAGGAAGGGCAGUAAGCGAAUACCUUGCUGUUUUGACGUUACCGACAGAAUAAGCACCGGCUAACUCUGUGCCAGCAGCCGCGGUAAUACAGAGGGUGCAAGCGUUAAUCGGAAUUACUGGGCGUAAAGCGCGCGUAGGUGGUUCGUUAAGUUGAAUGUGAAAGCCCCGGGCUCAACCUGGGAAAGGCAUCCAAAACUGGCGGGCUAGAGUAGGGCAGAGGGUGGUGGAAUUUCCUGUGUAGCGGUGAAAUGCGUAGAUAUAGGAAGGAACACCAGUGGCGGAGGCGACCACCUGGGCUCAUACUGACACUGGGGUGCGAAAGCGUGGGGAGCAAACAAG